AGUGGCACCACCCAGCACCAUCCCGAACCUGGAAGUGAAACGCUGUAGCGCUGAUGGUACUUCAGCCGCAAGGCUGCGGGAGAGUAGGCCAUUGCGGAAC
rnacentral:rRNA from 1 species